GGGGUUGUGGCUCAGCGGUAGAGCGCUCGCCUAGCAUGUGCGAGGCCCUGGGUUCAAUCCUCAGCACCA
rnacentral:tRNA from 1 species